UCCAGACUCCUACGGGAGGCAGCAGUGGGGGAUAUUGCACAAUGGGGGGAACCCUGAUGCAGCGACGCCGCGUGGGUGAAGGAGCGUUUCGGCGCGUAAAGCCCUAUCGGCAGGGAAGAAGGAGGACGGUACCUGACUAAGAAGCCCCGGCUAACUACGUGCCAGCAGCCGCGGUAAUACGUAGGGGGCAAGCGUUAUCCGGAUUUACUGGGUGUAAAGGGGGCGCAGACGGCAGCGCAAGCCAGGAGUGAAAGCCCGGGGCCCAACCCCGGGACUGCUCUUGGAACUGCGCGGCUGGAGUGCAGGAGGGGCAGGCGGAAUUCCUGGUGUAGCGGUGAAAUGCGUGGAUAUCAGGAGGAACACCGGUGGCGAAGGCGGCCUGCUGGACUGCGACUGACGUUGAGGCCCGAAAGCGUGGGGAGCAAACAGGAUUAGAUACCCGAGUA
rnacentral:rRNA from 1 species